GGGGACGGGCUAUAUAGGAGUGACAUUUUACAGGCAUAGAGAAUAACCAACAACAAGAGGUCCAGUCAUUUAUUCACCAUUGCAUAAAGAUGUAUUCAAGAAGCAGGUAGAAUUCUGGUAUUUCUGGACCACCAUUAGGAAGACAAAAAGUGUUAUACAAUGACGACAUAGACCAGGGGUGGUAUUCUUAGCACUUUGAGAGGCCCAGGGGGUCGGAUCACCUUAGGUCAGGAGUUCAAGACCAGCCUAGCCAACAUGGUGAAAUCUCAUUUCUACUAAAAAAAAAAAAAAAAAUUAGCAGAGUGUGGUGGUGGACGUCUGUAAUUACAGCUAUCCAGGAGGCUGAGGCAGGAGAAUCUCUGGAACCCAGAAGGCGGAGGUUGCAUUGAGCUGAGAUCGUGCCACUGCACAGAGAGAGACUCCAUCUCAAAAAAAAAGGGGGGGUGCAUCAUAAGAUCUACCAGAAUAUCUUUGUCAAAUCUUCACCAUGAGAAGCUUGGGGAGUUCCUGAAUGUAGUGACCGCAAAAGAAGCCUCCUGGGACUGCAGCUCCCAGGACUUUCUCCCUCUCAGGCUUGUUCACACACUUGGCCUCCAGCAACUUGUCAAAGUGAUCAUAGAUGUGUCCCUACUUGUUUAUGACUUCUUGGCUUCUUGGCUUCUGCUCUAGGUAAGAAGAUCUCAGUUGUGUUACUCUGAGUGAGUUUCUCUCCAUCUUUCAGGUUGGCCAUUAGCCUUUUGACAUCAGUUCCCUGAAGCGUCCACGAAAAGUUACUGACUUUCAGUUUGUCAAGUGUUUCCUUGUUGUAAAGAUGGGAUUAAUGACUUCCAAGCCUGUACAUGUGGGUGUUAAAACUGGGAGUCCACUCCCAUUGUUUUUUUAACUGAUGUAUAAAUUUGUACAGGAUUAGUAAUAUUAAUUCUAAAUAUAUAACACAUACAAAGAAAAAUUACAAUGAAGACUUGGCAAUCCAUAUAUACAGUAUAAUAUUUUAAAAUAUCCUUUCUGUAAAUUAAGGACAAAAGAUAACACUUCUAAGUAUACAACAA
rnacentral:lncRNA from 1 species